rnacentral:rRNA from 1 species
GAUGAACGCUGGCGGCGUGCCUAAUACAUGCAAGUCGAGCGAACAGACGAGGAGCUUGCUCCUCUGACGUUAGCGGCGGACGGGUGAGUAACACGUGGAUAACCUACCUAUAAGACUGGGAUAACUUCGGGAAACCGGAGCUAAUACCGGAUAAUAUAUUGAACCGCAUGGUUCAAUAGUGAAAGACGGUUUUGCUGUCACUUAUAGAUGGAUCCGCGCCGCAUUAGCUAGUUGGUAAGGUAACGGCUUACCAAGGCAACGAUGCGUAGCCGACCUGAGAGGGUGAUCGCCCACCCGGGAACUGAGACACGGUCCAGACUCCUACGGGAGGCAGCAGAAGGGAAUCUUACGCAAUGGGCGAAAGCCUGACGGAGCAACGCCGCGUGAGUGAUGAAGGUCUUCGGAUCGUAAAACUCUGUUAUUAGGGAAGAACAAAUGUGUAAGUAACUAUGCACGUCUUGACGGUACCUAAUCAGAAAGCCACGGCUAACUACGUG